GUGGUAAUACCGGAUGCUCCGCUCCAUCGCAUGGUGGGGUGGGAAAUGCUUUUGCGGCAUGGGAUGGGGUCGCGUCCUAUCAGCUUGUUGGCGGGGUGAUGGCCCACCAAGGCGUUGACGGGUAGCCGGCCUGAGAGGGUGACCGGCCACAUUGGGACUGAGAUACGGCCCAGACUCCUACGGGAGGCAGCAGUGGGGAAUAUUGCACAAUGGGCGCAAGCCUGAUGCAGCGACGCCGCGUGCGGGAUGGAGGCCUUCGGGUUGUAAACCGCUUUUGUUCAAGGGCAAGGCACGGUUUCGGCCGUGUUGAGUGGAUUGUUCGAAUAAGCACCGGCUAACUACGUGCCAGCAGCCGCGGUAAUACGUAGGGUGCGAGCGUUAUCCGGAUUUAUUGGGCGUAAAGGGCUCGUAGGCGGUUCGUCGCGUCCGGUGUGAAAGUCCAUCGCCUAACGGUGGAUCUGCGCCGGGUACGGGCGGGCUGGAGUGCGGUAGGGGAGACUGGAAUUCCCGGUGUAACGGUGGAAUGUGUAGAUAU
rnacentral:rRNA from 1 species